GCGCCGCGACCCGGGCGGUCGGUCGGCUGACGCGCCUGCGGGGCAGGCCGCGGGGGGCGCGGGGUGCGGCCGAGGUCGCCCGCUAGGGGGCCGGGAGCUGCCUGCGCGGCCGUCGCGCCCCAGCGCGCCCCUGGAGCGCGGCCGUGGCGGGCCGGAGGCCGGCGGCCGUGACAGGAAGCAGGGACCCCGCCAGGCGGCUGCCGCUGCAACCGGGAGCUGCGCUGCCCGAGGCAGACCGGCCCCGAUCGGCCUGGCGGCGGGGGGCCUCCCGGGCGCGCACCUGGAAGUCUGGGUUCUGGGGAGCGAUGACUGCGCGAAGUGACCGACCGCCCCAAGGCCAGCGGGGUGACGGGCAGGGCGUUCCAAGAAGCAGGCGCACCCGGGAACGCGCGGCACGGAGGCGGCAGCCAGGCCGGGGUGCGGGAGCGCGGGGCGAGGCCCUGGAGUGAAGCAAUGAGCCUCCACCGCUCAGCAGGGAAGAGAAGCCCGUUUGCAGGAGGCUGCGGCCGACUUUCCGCCCCUGGGCUGAGCUGAGCGCUUGGGUUGGCUCCUGCCUGUGCCCUGACCCGGAAUCAAACCCGCAACCUUGCUGCGUCAGAACAAUGCUUUUACCAACUUUGCAGUCCGGCCAGGGCAGGAAAGUAUUUCUUUAAAAGAUACUUUUGGAGUUUAAAAGAAAGAUAUUAGGAAUCCAGCAAGGAAAUGGAACUCGGACCUUUGAAGGAUGGAUGGGACCACGGCAAGCCGAGACAGGCCAGGCGAGGGAGGGGGCUGCCCGAGGCCUGAGGAACAGUGCAGUCGAGGACAGAAUGAGAAGUGCAUGGAGUGCCCUGGGAACACUAAGGAGUCCGUUCGGAUGGAGCACAGGGAGAAGAGUCAGUAAGCAAGUCAGUCUGGGAAGCUUCCAGCGUGAGUCACGGGUCGGACUUUGGACAAGUCAAGACUGCCACCUGCAAACAAGAGACCAGGUGUUGUUUGAGCAGACGGAAUCACGGACCAAAGUCGAAGGGAGAAUAGUGUGUCUUGAUUGUGACAGUGGGCGCAGGCUGUCCCAUCCGCCGCUGUCGGAGUGUGACAGGGACAGUGAGUGCUAUCUGUUUCUCACAAGUUUGGGGCCAGUGAAAGGGCGAGGAUAUCGACGUUAUUACGCAUAAGGAUCCACUGAAGAAUGUGACUGGGAUGACAACCAAGAGUCUUUUUAAUAUUCCCUGAGUUAAAGUGAGCUCCCCCCCAAAACUGCAGCCUCCCCCUUGCAGAGGCCUAGCAACUUCCACGAGGUCUCCGUCGAAAUCGAAGACGGCACUCGCCCUGAGGGCGGGCAGAUCUGAACUCACCAGAGAGGCAAGUCUUCUCCUUCUGGAAGACCCAGGACAAAUUCCCCUCCGCCUGCCCUCCUAAGACAGCAAAAGGAUCAGGAAAUAAGGAUUUAUCUGGGCCCAAGCAAAUAGGAUCUGGCCCAAAAAUAGGAGGAAGACUACGGCCAAGAGAGCUCAGAUGAUGCUGCUCCUGAAGGCCAGCCCUGGAAAGGGUGGAGAGCGGGUCUGGAGGAACAAAGGCAGAGAUAUCUAGCAGCUAAACGUCCGACCUCGAACAAAUAAUUGUUUAGUACCUGCCGAGAGCCCUGAGGAUUGAGGGAACCACCUGAACAUCCCUUUACUCCUGGAGUUUACCUGCUGGAGGCCACACAGACCCCCACACACCGGACCUCUUGCGUCAGCGAGGCCUGCAGUAUUUCAGGCCUGGACUGGGAUCGUGGCGCCCUGGUCUUCCUGCCUCCAGCACCCUGGGCCUGGCCUUUUACUCAGCUGCGUGAACCUUCCUGAAAUGGAUCAUGACAGCGCCCUGCCUAAAAUUCUCCGGUGCUCUCUCUGACCCCUGUGGCUCAGUGGGUUGGGCGCCGGGCCACAAAGCAAAAGGUCACCAGUUCAAUUCCCAGUCGGGGCACAUGCCUGGGUUGCAGGCGAGGCCCCGGUUGGGGGCAAGAGACAACCAGUCGAUGUUUCUCUUGCACAUCGGUGUUUCCUUCUGUUUCUCCCUCCC